GCUCAGCUGGUUAAGUGUCUGACUCUUGAUUUCAGCUCAGGUCAUGACCAUAAGGUCAUGGGAUCAAGUCCCAUGUAGGGCU
rnacentral:tRNA from 1 species